rnacentral:rRNA from 1 species
GCGUGAGUGAUGAAGGCCCUAGGGUUGUAAAGCUCUUUCGGCGGGGACGAUAAUGACGGUACCCGCAGAAGAAGCCCCGGCUAACUUCGUGCCAGCAGCCGCGGUAAUACGAAGGGGGCUAGCGUUGCUCGGAAUCACUGGGCGUAAAGCGCACGUAGGCGGAUCUUUAAGUCAGGGGUGAAAUCCCGGGGCUCAACCUCGGAACUGCCUUUGAUACUGGGGAUCUCGAGUCCGGAAGAGGUUGGUGGAACUCCGAGUGUAGAGGUGAAAUUCGU